AAGGUACGGCAGGUGAUUGCUUAAAUAUGUUAUUUAAGAGGAAAGUCCGGGCUGCUAUGAAGCGUAGUUCCGUUUAACAGACGGCUGGGGUAACCCAAGGGAUAGUGCAACAGAGAGUAAACUACCACUUAUAUGUUUACAUGUAGUGGCAAAGGUGAAACGGCGGGGUAAGAGCCCACCAGCGUCUUGAGCAAUCUAGAUGGCUUUGUAAACCCAACUUGCAGCAAGAAUGGAUUGGUUUUGCUUCAUAAUAAAGACCAUUCGCUACAAUUUUCUAGCGAUAGAAAAUGCAGAUAAAUAAUCACCCACGACAGAACUCGGCUUAUCGCCGUACCUUUGCA
rnacentral:RNase_P_RNA from 1 species